AACACAUGCAAGUCGAGGGGUAACAGAGAGUGCUUGCACUCUGCUGACGACCGGCGCACGGGUGAGUAACGCGUAUAGAACCUACCUUUUACUGGAGAAUAACCAGGAGAAAUUCUGACUAAUACUCCAUAGUAUGUAUAAGUUGCAUAGUUUAUACAUUAAAGAUUUAUUGGUAAAAGAUGGCUAUGCGUCCUAUUAGCUAGAUGGUGUGGUAACGGCACACCAUGGCAACGAUAGGUAGGGGCCCUGAGAGGGGGAUCCCCCACACUGGUACUGAGACACGGACCAGACUCCUACGGGAGGCAGCAGUGAGGAAUAUUGGACAAUGGAGGCAACUCUGAUCCAGCCAUGCCGCGUGCAGGAAGACUGCCCUAUGGGUUGUAAACUGCUUUUAUAAGAGAAGAAACCCCUGGAUGUAUCCGGGGCUGACGGUAUCUUACGAAUAAGCACCGGCUAACUCCGUGCCAGCAGCCGCGGUAAUACGGAGGGUGCAAGCGUUAUCCGGAAUUACUGGGUUUAAAGGGUGCGUAGGC
rnacentral:rRNA from 1 species